UACAGGGGGGGCAAGCGUUGUUCGGAAUUACUGGGCGUAAAGGGCUCGUAGGCGGCCAACUAAGUCCGACGUGAAAUCCCAAAGCUUAACUUUGGAACUGCCUCGGAUACUGGAUGGCUUGAAUUCGGGAGAGGGAUGCAGAAUUCCAGGUGUAGCGGUGAAAUGCGUAGAUAUCUGGAGGAAUACCGGUGGCGAAGGCGGCAUCCUGGACCGACAUUGACGCUGAGGAGCGAAAGCUAGGGGAGCAAACGGG
rnacentral:rRNA from 1 species